rnacentral:rRNA from 1 species
AGAGUUUGAUCCUGGCUCAGAUUGAACGCUGGCGGCAUGGAUUAGGCAUGCAAGUCGAAUGUGAAGCUGUAGUUUACUAUAGUGGAAAAUGGCGCAAGGGUGAGUAACACGUGAGCAAUCUGCCCCCAAGUUCGGAACAGCCCGUGGAAACGCGGAUUAAUACCGGAUGGGGAUUUCCGGCCACCUGGCCGGUCUUCCAAAGUUUUUUCGCUUGGGGAUGAGCUCGCGACCCAUUAGUUUGUUGGCGGGGUAACGGCCCACCAAGACUACGACGGGUAGGUGGUCUGAGAGGACGAUCACCCACACCGGGACUGAGACACUGCCCGGACUCCUACGGGAGGCUGCAGUCGAGAAUCUUCCGCAAUGGGCGCAAGCCUGACGGAGCAAUGCCGCGUGGGGGAUGAAGGCCUUCGGGUCGUAAACCCCUGUCAGAUGGGACGAAAUUUGACGGUACCAUCAGAGGAAGUGACGGCUAACUACGUGCCAGCAGCCGCGGUAAUACGUAGGUCACGAGCGUUAAUCGGAUUCACUGGGCGUAAAGGGUUCGUAGGGGGCUUGUCAAGUCAGACGUGAAAUGCCGGGGCUCAACCCCGGAACUGCGUUUGAUACUGGCGAGCUAGGGUUCGCGAGGGGCAGACGGAACACUCGGUGUAGCGGUGGAAUGCGUAGAUAUCGAGUGGAACACCUAUGGCGAAAGCUGUCUGCUGGCGCGACACCGACCCUGAGGAACGAAAGCGUGGGUAGCGAACAGGAUUAGAUACCCUGGUAGUCCACGCCGUAAACGUUGUGCGCUAGAUGUGGGGGGGCCGAUCCCCUCCGUGUCCAAGCUAACGCGAUAAGCGCACCGCCUGGGGACUACGGUCGCAAGACUAAAACUCAAAGGAAUUGACGGGGGCCCGCACAAGCGGUGGAGCAUGUGGCUUAAUUCGAGGCAACGCGAAGAACCUUACCUGGAUUUGACAUGUACCGGACCGGUAUGGAAACAUACCCUCCCUUCGGGGCCGGUUCACAGAUGCUGCAUGGCUGUCGUCAGCUCGUGCCGUGAGGUGUUCGGUUAAGUCCGGCAACGAGCGCAACCCGCGUCGUCAGUUACCAGCACGUAAUGGUGGGGACUCUGGCGAGACUGCCCGUGUUAAGCGGGAGGAAGGCGCGGAUGACGUCAAGUCAGUAUGGCUCUUACAUCCAGGGCUGCACACGUGCUACAAUGGCCGGUACAAUGGGACGCGAGAUCGCGAGAUGGAGCAAAUCCCCAAAACCGGCCCCAGUUCGGAUCGGAGUCUGCAACCCGACUCCGUGAAGUCGGAAUCGCUAGUAAAGGCGUAUCAGCAACGACGCCUUGAAUACGUUCCCGGGCCUUGUACACACCGCCCGUCACAUCAUGGAAGCCUGCUGCACCCGAAGUCAGCGGCCCGACCCGCAAGGGGGGGAGCUGCCGAAGGUGUGCCCGGUAACUGGGAUGAAGUCGUAACAAGGUA